UGGAGGCGACGCUAGGGUUUAGGAAAUGGUGGUGGAGGGAUGAAGAAGAGGGUAGAGAGGGUAGGAGAAGGCGGCGGGUGGACGCGGAGUCACCGCGCCGUCGCCGUGGAGGAGGAGGAGAGACGGAGUCGCCGAGGAGAGGAGGAGAGGCGGCGAGUGAAAGUAAUCGGGAGAGAGAGAGAGAGUUAAGAGUGAGAGUGUUUUUUUUAUUUUUUCCAAAAUAGAAAACGUGCCAUCAAUAGCGGGACAACCCAAAAAGGAAAACGUGUCAUUAUUAACGGGACGGGGGGAGUAAUUUUUAUUUUCAAUCAAUGUAGGUUAAUUUUUUAAUUUAAUAAAAUUUGAGUUAUUAAAUUCAAUGUAAUAUUUAAU
rnacentral:lncRNA from 1 species